rnacentral:lncRNA from 1 species
AUGACUGUGGACAACUGGAGCUUACUCUGCUAUGAGCUUAUGUGCAUUUAUGAAUACUAUGUGCAGAACAAGAUUCAGAGAACUGUCCCAAUGUGGGGCAGAGAAACUAGUAAUUUCUACUGGCCUCCCGCCCUUCUGGGGCUGAAGGCUGCUUCUGGAAUCAUUAACCCACAAAGCUUGAACUUGUCAAAUAAGGUCCUUUAUCUGGAAAGGAGUGUGGGGAGAGACUUGCUGAUGUGUCAAGCUGAGCAGCUUUCCAUAGAAAGGCAUCUCCCUAGCUGGGCUUUCAAGUGGUAUAUUUUCCAAAGUUCAGUAUCAUUGUCUGACUCACCAUCUGCCUUGAUGGCCUGACAUAUUGGGCACUGACUUGAGAACCAACACAUAUGUGGGCCAAGGACACCAUCCGGCCACUGGCUUAUGGCACCUGAGGGAUAGUGAAAACACAGAAGUCUCAACCCAGAUGGACACCCCACACACACCGGGAUCCAUGAGAACGGCCUCUCCAGAAUUGCUGGUGUUUCUUCAGCAUUUGCCAGGUGAAGGCAAAUGACAUUCACCUGAGAAAUUCCACUGUCUCCCAUUCUCCGAUGAGUAAUAAGACAAUUUGGCCUUUUCCAGUCUGGUUCUGCAGCAUCUGUAAGAGUCUGAAGGCACUUACACGCAGCGUUUUAGUACCAAUUCAAUCUGAUUAGGUGUGCUGUCAGUGAUUGGGCCUUGAAUCCUAAGCAGGUGGUUUGUUUUCUGCUCUAGCUGCCUCCCUCUUUCUCUUGUGAAUCAUUACCUAAAUUUUAGGGAGCCAAAUUUAAGAAUAAUUCAUGUUCUUUAAAAGGUGCAACAAGGAAGGGACACAGCUGGAGCCAGAAUUUUGCAGCUCUCUAAGGAGCUAGCCUGGAAUAGCUGAAAAGUAAUUGAGCCAAAUAUUCUGCACCCAUUAGCCAGGGUGAUGGAAAGUGAUUAGCACUCAGUAAAACCAUGGCAACCUUCACAUUCUAGCAAGCCCCUGAUCCCAGCUCCCUGUGAACUUGCUCAGUUCCAGCCUCUCUCAACACUCAUGUCACUAAUUGGUGACACAAUUCAUCUCCAUCAGACGCUGCACCCUAUUCCUGCAGUCCCUUGAUUGGUUCCUGGAGAGGUAGAUCUGGGUGUGCAGUGGGAAAAGAAAAGGGCAGGGGAGAUGAAGAUGUAACUCAGUUAAUCACCGUGGGAGAUCCAAGAUGGGCCUCUGAGCUUACUGAGAGUCAUUUGAACCUGCAUAGGCCCAAGGAAUGGGGAUUAGCCACGUAGAAAGGAAGUAUUUGGGAUUGGCAGGAACUGGCCACCAGUGCGAUUCUCACUCUCAGGACAGGAAGCUGGCUGUUUCUCCUUUAAGCAAAGGUGUUCCAUUCAGUCACUGCAAGGGACCAGAAGUCAGUGGAGCUAUGUCAGUGGGCUAGCAAAAAACCAAGAAGUAAGUGUCCAGCUUUGCAGCUCCAGAGAGAGAGAGGGAUGGAGGGAGGAAGGGUGGGAGAGAGAGAGAGAGAGAGAGAGAGAGAGAGAGAGAGAGAGAGAGAGAGAAUAAAUGAAGUUUUAAUAACA